ACCGGAGGGCGCCGUGGGUAGCCUCGCCGCUCCUGCAGUCCCGGUGUGCCAGCCUCGCGGACCCCUUCCUGUCUUGCCCAGUCCCGGCCCGUGUUCUGAGUCCUGCAGUCGCGCCACUGCCUGUCGCUCCGUCCCGCGGUUACUCCCGUUGUGUUGUCCCCGGCGUGGCGGGAGGACCGAGCCUGUGGCCGCCAUCCCCCUGGUCUCCUGACCCCGAACCCUCGCUCUGGCAGCUGCAGGCCUGCGGUGAGGAGCGGGUCUGAGGGCCCUCUGAUGGGACACGUGGGCCCCGCCUUCCUCCACUCUACGGUUGGCUAUUUGAUCCCAGGAGGGAUGUUUUAAUUUUCCCGGAAAAAAUCGCCUGCACCGAAGGGCAGGGGAUGAAUUCCGUCCUCACGGAUAAUGAGGAGACACGACCUAAUUGAAACAAAUGUUGCCUAGAAGUAAAGGGCAACGGGCCGAGUCUUGGACGGUGCGACACUCACUUCUCAUGGUUAGGAUCGUUAACUCUUGGGAAACCUCCACAUGAAGACGCAAGUGACCAGUCGGAUGACUUCAGAUGCAACCAUCCAUUUGCUCAGUGCUCGUAUGGGGUUGCAUUUUUGCGUAAAACUACGAUUCCCUUUGUCCACGCAGUCAAUUCCUGCUUUUUUUUAAUUUUAAUUUAAGGUUUAGGUUUUACAAGACACAAGUAGCUGGGAAGAAGGUGGUUUAAUGGAAAGGGAUACAGGGACUUUAUAGACUGUCCUUCAAGUUGGCGGAAGUCUUAUUUUAUGGGUGAAGGGGAGUGUGACUUGAGAGAGAUUCAUCACAAGAAAACGGAGACCUCUUCAGUCAAAAGUGACUGUGGUCCAGCUGUGUUCUGGAGUCCCUGCAGAUUCUUGACAUUUGCCUCCAUCUAUAGGGUGAGAGAACAUUUUCCUCCCAAAGAAGUCUAACCACAGUCCAUAUGCCAUGGAACUUGGCUGUAGGUCCCAGAAGAAACCACCUGUUUAUCUUGGCCUGGACUACAUAUCUCUUGCUUUCCUAGUGAAGAUGAUCUUUUCCUUACAGAAUACCCAUGUUCUGGAUAUUCUAGUGUAGUUCUUCAUGUGCCAAGAAUAUUCAAGUUUUAAGAAUGACUUUAAAGCUGUGUGCCAGAACCAUCAUAUUUACUAAGAAUUCACAAGUUUCUUUACAAUGAAAUUAUUCAAACUAAUUAUUCAUGUGUGUGAGUAUACUGAAAUGUAAUGAGUUAUGUUGGCCCUGAAUUCUAAUUAGUAUAUAAAUAUGUUUUAAAAAUCAAAGAAGAAAUAAAUUUAUACAGAUCAUACUUAUUCAUUCCAAUUAUUUUUACACAUUUGGAAGUGUGUAUUAUUUUUGAUCUUGUAACAAAGUCUGUGAAAAAGUGAUGUAAAAGUGAAGA